AUUGAACGCUGGCGGCAGGCCUAACACAUGCAAGUCGAACGAGUGGCGGACGGGUGAGUAAUGUCUGGGAAACUGCCUGAUGGAGGGGGAUAACUAAUGGAAACGGUAGCUAAUACCGCAUACCAUCGGAUGUGCCCAUAUGGGAUUAUCUAGUAGGUGGGGUAAAGGCUCACCUAGGCGACGAUCCCUAGCUGGUCUGAGAGGAUGACCAGCCACACUGGAACUGAGACACGGUCCAGACUCCUACGGGAGGCAGCAGUGGGGAAUAUUGCACAAUGGGCGAAAGCCUGAUCCAGCCAUGCCGCGUGUGUGAAGAAGGUCUUCGGAUUGUAAAGCACUUUCAGUUGGGAGGCGUUACCAACAGAAUAAGCACCGGCUAACUUCGUGCCAGCAGCCGCGGUAAUAC
rnacentral:rRNA from 1 species